ACUUUCUCUUUUUCUUGCUUGUAGUUAUUGAAUCUGCAUUUGUGAUGCUCACAUUUCUAUGAAAAUAAAUGAUUGCCCAUGUAGAGAAUCCUUGCUACCUUCAGAUGCAUUGUUAUAAGAGGUUGCUUAAGUUUUGUUUUUUUUUUUUCCUUCCAGUACCGCCCAGUGAAGCUUCCUGGAAAUGUGUCUAAUUGUUGCACUCUUGGGUUGAAAAAGUUCAGGAAACCUUCCUAACAGAUGUAGUUCAUCUUCUCCACGUUUCCAUUCCUAUCCCUCUCUUCCACCUCCAGCAUCCCUCUCCAGCCAGGCUUUUUCUUCUCCCCUUCAAGCAACCUCCACUUCCUUAGCCAAACUGAGUAUUUAAUAAGCGAAGAGUGAAUAAGAAUGUGUUCAUGGAAAAAUCAGUGGUUCUUAUUAAAUGCCUGUUAUGUCCUCCAAAACCCAAAGAUCCCACACGUUAUGGCUACAUCAUCACAUGAACUCUCAAAAGGAAUCUUUUGGUCACAUUUCAUAUAUACUAGGUUCUGCCUAGAUCUUUUAUUUGUAUACAUGACUUCUGAGACAUUGGACUUGAGGUUGAAGUUGCAUCUCUGUGGGGUUCUUGGGGGGCAAGGAGCAGGGGUAAUACAUUUUUAAUAAAGUUGCUGGCUUAGAGCUUUGACUACCACAUUGUUGGAGAGGGACUGGAGAAGGAGAGGAGAGGCAUUAUGGAGGUACAGGGAGCUCCCAGGAGCAGUGGAUACAUUUGCUACCUUGAUAUGUGGCAGUAUGGUCAUUGGGCAUAUACCAAUGUCAAAACUUCUCAAAUUGUGUCCUGGAAAUACUGUAGCUUGUAUGUCAAUUAGACCUCAAGAGAGUCAUUUUUACGAAUUCUAUAUUUUCCAGGUCCAUGCUCAAGAGAUUUCUAGAAUUAAGACAACGAAACCAACAGCACAGCGCAUGCUUAUUAAAAAUGCCAGACUUGCGCUUGAAAGGCACAGGGAAUUUUACUUGGUUUGCAUCACUUAUAUAAAGCUCUUACGUGCUGUAUUGAUGAGUAUCAAGUCAACGUAAGGAUUUUCCAAAAGCAUUUGCUUGACUUGAUCGAAAUAUUCCAGUACUCUCUCAACCACCCAAGCCAACUCUCCAGUUGCCUUCCAGCCAUUGUGACAAAGCCUCCCAAGUCACCAGGUCCUCUGACUGGGAGGGCCCAUGUCACAGUCACUUAUAGAGGGAGGAUGGCUGGACGGCUUUGGAGAUGGACUUGGGGUGAGGGAGAGGGAUGAUGGGGAGGGCAGCCAGAGGCUAUCUCAACCAGAACCUCACUGCUGACCAGAGCUGGGGACUGUGAGAAGAUGGCAAAAGCCUAUCAAUGUUGGUGUCCAACAUGUUGCAUGAAGGAUUUUCCACAGAGACACAGGGCAAAGAAAUCCCACCAGAAAAGGAACAAAGGCCUAAGUGAGUCACACAUGCUUUGGCUGAAGAAACUGCUUGAUUCCAUGCAGUACGAAGUCACAUUUGUUCCCGUGGUUGACUCAGCGGACAGUACCUCCUGCUGCAGGCCCAAGGCCACCAUAAUCAUCAUUGAGCUUGCCUCUCCACCCCAGGAUCUCUAAAUAAAUCAUCUUUCUCUGAAAAAAAAA